rnacentral:rRNA from 1 species
UACGUAGGGUGCGAGCGUUGUCCGGAAUUACUGGGCGUAAAGAGCUCGUAGGUGGUUUGUCGCGUUGUUCGUGAAAUCUCACGGCUUAACUGUGAGCGUGCGGGCGAUACGGGCAGACUAGAGUACUGCAGGGGAGACUGGAAUUCCUGGUGUAGCGGUGGAAUGCGCAGAUAUCAGGAGGAACACCGGUGGCGAAGGCGGCGACCUGGGCCAAUAUUGACGCUGAGGUGCGAAAGCGUGGGGAGCAAACAGG